CAGACAGCCCUGGAGAUUGAAGUCCUCAGUUUGAACAGGUACAACAUGGGCAAUAGAAGUGCAAACUUCCUCUAUGCUGGCCCAGCAAAGUGCCUCUGCCUGGUUUUGGCGUGACCACCCCUAGGCAUGCCUAAUUGUAAUCCUUGAGUUCUCUGCAGCAAAUAUCAUUCAAGAGCGAUC
rnacentral:sRNA from 1 species